GACGAACGCUGGCGGCGUGCCUAAUACAUGCAAGUAGAACGCAGUUGCGAACGGGUGAGUAACGCGUAGGUAACUGCCUGGUAGCGGGGGAUAACUAUUGGAAACGAUAGCUAAUACCGCAUACUACCAGAUGGACCUGCGUUGUAUUAGCUAGUUGGUGGGGUAACGGCUCACCAAGGCAAAGAUACAUAGCCGACCUGGAGGGGAGAUCGGCCACACUGGGACUGGGGAACGGCCCAAGCUCCUUCGGGAGGCAGCAGUAGGGAAACUUCGGCAAUGGGGGGAACCCUGACCGAGCAACGCCGCGUGAGUGAAGGAGGUUUUCGGAUCGUAAAGCUCUGUUGUUAAGGAAGCGGUACUUAACCAGAAAGGGACGGCUAACUACGUGCCAGCCGCCGCGGUAAUUC
rnacentral:rRNA from 1 species